rnacentral:rRNA from 1 species
CCUACGGGAGGCAGCAGUGAGGAAUAUUGGUCAAUGGCCGGAAGGCUGAACCAGCCAAGCCGCGUGAAGGACGAAGGUGCCAAGCAUUGUAAACUUCUUUUGUCAAGGGACAAAAUCAGGCUCGAGAGCCUGACCGAGGGUACUUGAAGAAAAAGCAUCGGCUAACUCCGUGCCAGCAGCCGCGGUAAUACGGGGGAUGCGGUCGUUAUCCGGAUUUAUUGGGUUUAAGGGUAGCGUAGGCGGACUGUUACGUCAGCGGUAAAAGCCCGGGGCUAAACCCCGGCGAGCCGUUGAAACUGGCUGUCUUGAGAGGACGAGGGGUAUGAGGAAUGCGCAGUGUAGCGGUGAAAUGCUUAGAUAUUGCGCAGAACUCCGAUUGCGAAGGCAGCAUACCGGCGGCGAUCUGACGCUGAGGCACGAAAGCGUGGGUAUCGAACAGGAUUAGAUACCCGGGUAGUC